UACAGAGGGUGCAAACGUUGUUCGGAAUUACUGGGCGUAAAGCGUGUGUAGGCGGCCUCGUAGGUCGGAUGUGAAAGCUCUCGGCUCAACCGGGAAAGUGCAUUCGAAACCACAAGGCUUGAGUGUCGGAGAGGAGGGCGGAAUUGUCGGUGUAGAGGUGAAAUUCGUAGAUAUCGACAGGAACACCUGCGGCGAAAGCGGCCCUCGUGGACGAACACUGACCGCUGAGACACGAAAGCGUGGGGAGCAAACAGGGAUUAAGAAAACC
rnacentral:rRNA from 1 species